CGUGAUUGGCGGGCUGGCGGGCAGGUUCGGCAUCACCUACCCGGGGCCGCGAUAAUGUCGGGAGGUGAUGGGUCCUCGCGCGUCAUGUGCAUACUUAAGUGUUUUUUUACCGGUUCUUGAGGGAUUUACCGCGUCAGGCACGUCACGGCUGCUGGUUGAGGCCCUAGCGGUGUGUCUGAGGGCGCCAGGAUGUGUCUGAAGGCGAGGAUGCGGCGGCUACACGAUGCUAAAAUUGUGGAAGUGACGCGAGGAUGGAAGGGCAGAGGCAGGCACCGCGGCUGGCGUGGCGGCGGCGGAGGAGAAAGACCCUGGAAUGUCUCAGCAAUGCAAUGUUACCCCAGCUCAGCCACCAGCGUCUCUCCUUGCGCUAAUCUCUCGUAUGGGCAGCGGCGGCGUGGUAGUGGCCACCCCACCCCCUGCGUGUUUCCAGCCACUGACGAGCUGCCGCAACGUCCAAGAAAAAGGGACGAAGAAAGGGAAAGUGAAGUAGAUGUUCCAGCUCCUCUUCCUACACUCACUCCUACAUACAAUAUUGAUACACUGCAUCCCUGCUUCAAGAGAUCGUCACUCAACCAGCCAACACUCAGUCCUGCCGCCUCUUUAAAGACACCACAUGUUCAUUUCGUCUUGUUCCAUCCCUGCUGUUCACCAUGCCACCCUCCCACACUUACUCCUAUGUACAUAUCGAUACAGACUCGCUACUACAAGAGAGUUCAAUCGCUGUUUCCUGUCACCACCUCAAGCCAACUGAUCACUUCGCCUUCCUUCCCUGCAGAUCACCACGCCGGCCUCCCGCACUUACCCCUAAUAAACUGCAUCACUACUUCAAAACAGCUUCAUCACACCUUCCUGUCACCACUUCUGCUUCCUUCCCUGCUGCUCGCCACGCCGCCCUCUGUCCUGCUAUUGGUGAAUGGGAUGAUCGUCAUAUAUACCACUUGUUGACCCUGCUGAGGCUUCGCUGGCGACCUGACCAUCUGCUGACCGCCUGGUGAUCUUCCUCGGCCUUCACCUUUCCUCGUUCUCGCCUCCAG